UACGUAGGGCGCAAGCGUUAUCCGGAAUUAUUGGGCGUAAAGAGCUCGUAGGCGGUUUGUCGCGUCUGCCGUGAAAGUCCGGGGCUCAACUCCGGAUCUGCGGUGGGUACGGGCAGACUAGAGUGAUGUAGGGGAGACUGGAAUUCCUGGUGUAGCGGUGAAAUGCGCAGAUAUCAGGAGGAACACCGAUGGCGAAGGCAGGUUUCUGGGCAUUAACUGACGCUGAGGAGCGAAAGCAUGGGGAGCGAACAGG
rnacentral:rRNA from 1 species